rnacentral:tRNA from 1 species
ACGUCGCUGGUUUAGUGGUAAAAUACAUCCCUGCCACGGAUGAGACUCGGGUUCGAUUCCCGAGCGACGUA